rnacentral:rRNA from 1 species
GACGAACGCUGGCGGCGUGCUUAACACAUGCAAGUCGAACGGAAAGGCCCUGCUUUUGUGGGGUGCUCGAGUGGCGAACGGGUGAGUAACACGUGAGUAACCUGCCCUUGACUUUGGGAUAACUUCAGGAAACUGGGGCUAAUACCGGAUAGGAGCUCCUGCUGCAUGGUGGGGGUUGGAAAGUUUCGGCGGUUGGGGAUGGACUCGCGGCUUAUCAGUUUGUUGGUGGGGUAGUGGCUUAACAAGGCUUUGACGGGUAGCCGGCCGGUGAGCGUGACCAGCUACAUUUGUACUAAGUUCCGGCACCAACUCCUACGGGAGGCAGCAGUGGGGAAUAUUGCACAAUGGGCGGAAGCCUGAUGCAGCAACGCCGCUUGCGGGAUGACGGCCUUCGGGUUGUAAACCGCUUUCGCCUGUGACGAAGCGUGAGUGACGGUAAUAGGUAAAGAAUCACCGGCUAACUACGUG